GCUUCUCAUUUUAAUGGCGCUUGUAGUUGCAGUGUAGGCUGCCAUUGCGGCCUACACUGUGUAGUCCGUUGUUGUGUUUGUUGCGUAGUUUAUAAUUAUAAACUAUUCGUAUUUCAAAAUAAGCGUGAUGAAUCUAUUGCCCGAAAUGAGUUCUCAGUUCAGCAAACAAGAUUACUGGAAAAACUUUUGAAAAGAAGAAGCAAGAAAUCAUUUGAAUGGUAUAGAACCUAUCAGUAGCGCAACAGUGUAUUUCAUAAACACAUCAACCCCUGAGAUUCUAAUUGGAAAUUGUAGAAAUAUAAGCUUUUUGUGUUGGUCUGCGUAAUCCUGGCUCUGUCUUAUAUCAUCCAUAAAGCAUCAACACAAGUGAGUUCAUAGAGAUCAUUAACACCUCAAAGGCUGCUGGUAUACCUGUAAUCUCUAAUCAGCUCCUAAACAAUUACACCAGAAAUAUGUGCCACCAAUAAAAGGAAGGAUUUAUAAAAAAGUGCCCAAAUAAGUAAAUGGGAAACAAUGUUUCCUUUCAUUUUUUUACUUCUAUCUUUUUAUAGAUGACAGAAUAUUUUGAAAAAGUAAUAUGUGCUAUAUGACGGUUGCAAAUUGAUUAAAUUUGACAUGAAUCGAAUCUGCUUACUGAAACUAGAGGUGGAUGCAGAUUCUAGUUAAUGAAGCCCCUGCUGGAAAUAAAAUCUGUUUUCAUCAGAAUCAUUAGUUAAAUAACAGUUCUGAUUUUUUCAGACGCAGUUGGACGCUGAAACAUUGCGAAGAUUAGAUUGGCUUUUUUUACGUAUGAUAGAAAAGCCGUCCACCUAGUGGAACAAAGGUAGUAGUAGUAGUAGUAGUAGUAGUAGUAGUAGUAGUUUAUCUUAUUGCAUUUGGCUUUUCUAUCAUGUGGUGUGAUUUAUUUGGACGGCUUUUCUAUCAAAGUAUUUUCCAUCAUCAUUCGUGGACGGCUUCUUUGCCAUAGGAGAUCGCCUAGACAUCAACUUCAAAGAAGCCGUCCAUGAAUGAUGAUGAUGGCAAAAUAUCGAUCAAAAGGAAGUCAGCACAGACAUCUCGGUUUUUAGUAGUAUAUACGUAUAUAUAGUUUUAGUAGCCUAUUACUUGCAUAAUUAGUAAUCUUUUGGCCCGUUUCUCCUUGACAUGUGAUAUGCUGAGCCUGGAGUGGAUUUGCACAAUGAGACUUAGACCUCGAAUGCUUGGACAACAGCAAGGAAGGUGUCCGUGAAGUUUUCGACAUCGGACCAUUUCUGGCUGUUCAUUUCAUUGUCAAAACCGUCUAUGUAUCAUGUAAUGAAAAAUCUCAAGAAACCAUUGUUUACGGUCAUCAUAAAGGUAUCUUACUGUAACCAAAAAAACCUUCAACUUGCAUCCUUCUUCAUCGUAUGCCAACUGUUAGCCGAGUUGUCAUUAAAAUGGAUGAUAAAAGGAAAUCGCUCACAUAUUGCAGGCAUGUAGCGGUUGACAAUAUGGUGAAAUGAUUGCGACCUACGUCUUUCACGGAACGUCUACGGAUUUGUACAAUUGCUGAGUGGCUUUAGCACUUUGGGAAAUGAAGUCCCAAGUAAAAUUAAACUUUUCUUCUCUUGCUAAUUAGUUAAAAAAGAAAUUUCUAAUAAUGCAAGGAGACGAUUCUGAUGGAAAUUCAGUAUACAAUGGAAAGUCAUGGCGUGAGUGUUGAUCUUCCGUUGCCUCGCUAUCCGAUCUGACUAGUUGUCUGGGUAAAAUCUUUGGCAUCACCAACAACGGGUUGAUUUAAAUGUAAAAGUUUGCAAUAGAUUCUUACCAAGUUAUCUUUCUAGGUUUUCGCUGUGAUUUUCAAUCAGUAUGCCGUUUCAGAAUCACCUGCCAGAAUUUUUUUACAGGAACAUGGCAAAUGGUAAAAUUUCUAUCAUGUAAGCUAUGUAAACAAGAAUUUGUAUGCUUACCUCUGUUUCAUUUUCUUACUAUAGAUUAAUAACCAUAGAUAGCAGAUCUGAAAAAGUUUUGGUUGGGUCAAGAUACAGAAAAACCAAGAAAUUACAAAAAUUGGAUGCAGGAAAUCGAAUUUCCAUACUUAAAUCGCAUUCUUGUGUGUUACGGUAUCAAUUUUUAAAAAAUUUGAAGUGCAUAUCUGGGCUCCCUUCUUUUCUGUGGCCCCGUUUCCCCUUGACUCAUAAUAAGCCCGUAGGGGGUCAUGCCUCUACU